rnacentral:lncRNA from 1 species
ACAUAAAAAUUUGCCAGUAAUACUCCUGGUUGUUGUUUAGCUAGCAGGUCAGGCCAGGCUUUUGCUAGAGAUUGACUGUAAGCUGCUUCUCAGGAAAGGAGAAGUGCUCUGGAAACCUGCAGAUGAAAAUGAAAAGAAAACGUCAUCAUGGUCAGAGGAGGAGGAAGCGCCUGCAACAGCAGCAGCAGCAGCAGCAGCAGCAGCAGCAGCAGCAGCAGCAGCAGCAGCAGCAGCAGCAGCAGCAGCAGCAACAGCAGCAGCAGCAAAUUUACUCAUGUAGAGUCUCACUAUGCUGCCAUCUGAGACUUCGAGUUCAUUACUGAAACCAUGCUUCUUCCCAGCAUCACGAGAAGAACACAACAGAUACAGAUCACCACAUUUAGCUGGUGGUAUUGUAAAAGCUCUUCAUUACUGACUUUCAUUUUUGCUUGUGUAUAAUUUGAAUCAAAUUUUAUAUUUUCUCAUUUACUACAAGUUUGCUUAACUCAUAUUUAGAUGUAACCAUAUUUUAUUACAUACCAUGUUUUUUAGAUUACAAAAGAUAUUUAAGUAAUGAAAAUAUUUGUAAUUUUUUAUUGGUUAUUUUCUUUGUUUACAUUUUAAGUGUUCUCCACAUUUCUGAUUCCAUCUCCGCAAACUGCCUAUUUCAUACCCAUUCCCCCUGCUUCUAUGAGAGUGCUCCCGAGCCCACCCACCCAUUUCCCCUUCACUGCAUUUCCUUAUGAUAUGGCAUCAAGUCUCCACAAGACCAAGAGCGUUCCCUCCCACUGAUGUCAGAAAAGCCAGUCCUCUGCUACAUAAGCAGCUGGAGCUAUGGGCUCUUCUAUGUGUAUUCUUUGGUUGGUGGUUCAGUGGAGCUCUGGGAGGUCUUGGUGAUUGAUAGUUUUGUAUAUUAUACUUUUCACUAUUUAAAACAAUAUUUUAAUUAAAUAUUCAAUGAUAUUAUACCACUUCCUCAAGUUCUUCAGCUCCUUUCCUACUUUCAUGCCAUCAUUAAGCCCCUUUGCCAAAAGAAAACAAAAUAAAUUAAAACACAACAACAACAAAGCCAAAAAGCAACAAAUAAUCCACAAAAC